rnacentral:rRNA from 1 species
CCUACGGGAGGCAGCAGUGAGGAAUAUUGGUCAAUGAGCGCGAGCCUGAACCAGCCAAGUAGCGUGAAGGAUGACUGCCCUACGGGUUGUAAACUUCUUUUAUAAAGGAAUAAAGUGAGGCACGUGUGCCUUUUUGUAUGUACUUUAUGAAUAAGGAUAGGCUAACUCCGUUCUAGCAGCCGCGGUAAUACGGAGGGUCCGAGCGUUAUCCGGAUUUAUUGGGUUUAAAGGGAGCGUAGAUGGGUUGGUAAGUCAGUUGUGAAAGUUUGCGGCUCAAACGUAAAAUUGCAAUUGAUACUGGCAGACUUGAGUAAAGUUGAGGUAGGCGGAAUUCGUGGUGUAGCGGUGAAAUGCUUAGAUAUAACGAAGAACUCCGAUUGCGAAGGCAGCCUACUAAACUGCCACUGACAUUGAUGCUCGAAAGUGUGGGUAUCAAACAGGAUUAGAUACCCUUGUAGUC